GAAUGAGAACUAAAUGGGCAGCUACACAUUCUCAACCUAUAUGCUCGCAACUUAUCGAAACUUGCUACAGGUAGACACGAGGCUCGCGAAGAUCACAAAAAUAGUAAAGAGGGCAGAUUUGUUCGUUCCCAAAUAGUAAACAUAUGGCGUAAAUGAACAAAUAUGACAUAAAUGAACAAAUACGACUAGACAUCCUCUACACAGCUCGUAACUAUGAGGAAGGUAAUAUGAACUUAUUCAAAGCAUGUCAUGCCAAUUCGAAUAGAAAUUGAACCGUAAACUUGCCAUCAAUCAAAGAAAUGGCACACAAACUUUCAAAAAUGCAACACUUCAAGGGACGAAAAAGAUAAGCAAGGGACAACAAACUUGGAAAGAAAAACUAGAAACAGAACAUGCGCAAUCUGGAAAAUGAAAAUGAAAAAUCUACAUCUCGAAAUAACUCAACAAACAUCCAAGUAAAAAAAAAGCGAGUCAAAAACGGGUUACAAUAAGUACAAUACAAAGCCAAGAUCUUGACGUCUUGAUUCAUUCCUUCAACUUGAGGUGAAAGAACGAAAAUUGUGACGUCGAACACUACACAUUACCACAGAGUCAUGAUAAGUAAGGACAAACUAAAGUAAAUAAAGCAUUUCGAACGAAAAUUGAUCACUACAAAGUUAUGAAAAACAGCACAAUUAGAGUGGCAAUAGCUUGAUACCAAGCUUCCAAAAUCCAUAUACUCUAGUCAUG
rnacentral:lncRNA from 1 species